rnacentral:rRNA from 1 species
AAUGAACGUUGGCGGCGUGGAUUAGGCAUGCAAGUCGAGCGGUAAGGCUCCUUCGGGAGUACACGAGCGGCGAAAGGGAGAGUAACGCGUGGAUUAUCUACCCUGGGGUCCGGAAUAGCUGCGGGAAACUGCAGGUAAUGCCGGAUAAUAUCUACGGAUCAAAGGUGUGAUUCCGCCCUUGGAGGAGUCCGCGUCCUAUUAGCUUGUUGGUGGGGUAAUGGCCUACCAAGGCGACGAUGGGUACCGGGUGUGAGAGCAUGACCCGGCUCACUGGGACUGAGACACUGCCCAGACACCUACGGGUGGCUGCAGUCGAGGAUCUUCGGCAAUGGGCGCAAGCCUGACCGAGCGACGCCGCGUGUGGGAUGAAGGCCUUCGGGUUGUAAACCACUGUCGUAGAGGAGGAAAUGCAUUGGGGUUCUCCCCAGUGUUUGACCUAUUCUAGGAGGAAGGACGGGCUAAGUUCGUGCCAGCCGCCGCGGUAA